rnacentral:rRNA from 1 species
ACUGUACUAAACUAACUAAAGUGGGGGAUAGUGAGGGGAUAAAUUUCCUUAAGGAACUCGGCAAAAUCCCAAUGGCCCACCAGGGCAUUUAACUUUUGUAGCAAGGUAUCAAGGUACCUUCUACGAAGGUGGGGUCCGGUAGGACCCUACCUCCACCCUAACGGGUGGCGGUUACUUGUAUUGGAACACGGGCCUCGACUGUUUACCAAAAACAUAGCCCUCGGCCAAUAUGAAAAUAGAAGUAUGGAGGGUGAGGCCUGCCCAAUGGUUGUAUCUAAAAGCGGCUGAUGAAAGUCGAUCUCGUAAGGACAAUUGAAUGGCCGCGGUAACACUGACCGUGAUAAUGUAGCGUAAUCAAUAGCCAAUUAAUUGUUGGCCAGUAUGAAUGGCGCCACGAAGGCCCCACUGUCUUAAGGAAAUUCCCAGUGAAAUUGAAUUCGUAGUGAAGAUGCUACGUCCAAUUUGUUAGACGAAAAGACCCCGUUGAGCUUUACUGGGGCACUUACACGGCCCCGGCCUUCGAGACUAGGUUGAUAAGCCAAGGCUUCGAAGAAGUCUUCGCUUACCAUACCUAGGGACCGGCUGAAUUUAAAUGGGCGGCUUAGACUAUGUGGCAGCCCCCCCCGUCGGGGCAGAUGAAACCCCACUCCCCCAUGUCAAAGGGGCUAACCCCCCCCUUGGGGGGGACAAUGUAAGUAGGACAGUUUGGUUGGGGCGACCGCCUUUUAGAGAGUAACGAAGGUGCGCUUAAGGUGCGCAAUUAAUGACUGAAGCCUGACUGCGAGGGGGACACCCCGAGCAGACACCCCCAAGCCCGCCCGCCCAGAAGGCUAUGCCUUCUGGGAGGGCGGCGGUGGGGUGGGCCAUAGUGACCCGUUAAUUUAGAGUGGGAUAGUUAACGAUCAACGAAUAAAAGUUACCACGGGGAUA